rnacentral:rRNA from 1 species
AGGCAGCAGUGGGGAAUAUUGCACAAUGGGGGAGACCCUGAUGCAGCCAUGCCGCGUGUGUGAAGAAGGCCUUCGGGGUUGUAAAGCACUUUCAGUAGGGAGGAAGGUAGUGUAGUUAACACCUGCAUUAUUUGACGUUACCUACAGAAGAAGCACCGGCUAACUCCGUGCCAGCAGCCGCGGUAAUACGGAGGGUGCGAGCGUUAAUCGGAAUUACUGGGCGUAAAGCGCAUGCAGGCGGCCUGUUAAGUCAGAUGUGAAAGCCCGGGGCUUAACCUCGGAAUUGCAUUUGAAACUGGCAGGCUAGAGUCUUGUAGAGGGGGGUAGGAAUUUCAGGUGUAGCGGUGAAAUGCGUAGAGAUCUGAAGGAAUACCAGUGGCGAAGGCGGCCCCCUGGACAAAGACUGACGCUCAGAUGCGAAAGCGUGGGGAGCAAACAGGAUUAGAUACCCUGGUAG